CUUAAUACAUGCAAGUCGAACGCUUCUUUUCCCACCGGAGCUUGCUCCACCGGGAAAAGAGGAGUGGCGAACGGGUGAGUAACACGUGGGUAACCUGCCCAUCAGAAGGGGAUAACACUUGGAAACAGGUGCUAAUACCGUAUAACAAUCGAAACCGCAUGGUUUCGUUUUGAAAGGCGCUUUACGGUGCCGCUGAUGGAUGGACCCGCGGUGCAUUAGCUAGUUGGUGAGGUAACGGCUCACCAAGGCCACGAUGCAUAGCCGACCUGAGAGGGUGAUCGGCCACAUUGGGACUGAGACACGGCCCAAACUCCUACGGGAGGCAGCAGUAGGGAAUCUUCGGCAAUGGACGAAAGUCUGACCGAGCAACGCCGCGUGAGUGAAGAAGGUUUUCGGAUCGUAAAACUCUGUUGUUAGAGAAGAACAAGGGUGAGAGUAACUGUUCACCCCUUGACGGUAUCUAACCAGAAAGCCACGGCUAACUACGUGCCAGCAGCCGCGGUAAUACGUAGGUGGCAAGCGUUGUCCGGAUUUAUUGGGCGUAAAGCGAGCGCAGGCGGUUUCUUAAGUCUGAUGUGAAAGCCCCCGGCUCAACCGGGGAGGGUCAUUGGAAACUGGGAGACUUGAGUGCAGAAGAGGAGAGUGGAAUUCCAUGUGUAGCGGUGAAAUGCGUAGAUAUAUGGAGGAACACCAGUGGCGAAGGCGGCUCUCUGGUCUGUAACUGACGCUGAGGCUCGAAAGCGUGGGGAGCAAACAGGAUUAGAUACCCUGGUAGUCCACGCCGUAAACGAUGAGUGCUAAGUGUUGGAGGGUUUCCGCCCUUCAGUGCUGCAGCUAACGCAUUAAGCACUCCGCCUGGGGAGUACGACCGCAAGGUUGAAACUCAAAGGAAUUGACGGGGGCCCGCACAAGCGGUGGAGCAUGUGGUUUAAUUCGAAGCAACGCGAAGAACCUUACCAGGUCUUGACAUCCUUUGACCACUCUAGAGAUAGAGCUUCCCCUUCGGGGGCAAAGUGACAGGUGGUGCAUGGUUGUCGUCAGCUCGUGUCGUGAGAUGUUGGGUUAAGUCCCGCAACGAGCGCAACCCUUAUUGUUAGUUGCCAUCAUUUAGUUGGGCACUCUAGCAAGACUGCCGGUGACAAACCGGAGGAAGGUGGGGAUGACGUCAAAUCAUCAUGCCCCUUAUGACCUGGGCUACACACGUGCUACAAUGGGAAGUACAACGAGUCGCGAAGUCGCGAGGCUAAGCUAAUCUCUUAAAGCUUCUCUCAGUUCGGAUUGUAGGCUGCAACUCGCCUACAUGAAGCCGGAAUCGCUAGUAAUCGCGGAUCAGCACGCCGCGGUGAAUACGUUCCCGGGCCUUGUACACACCGCCCGUCACACCACGAGAGUUUGUAACACCCGAAGUCGGUGAGGUAACCUUUUUGGAGCCAG
rnacentral:rRNA from 1 species